GGUUUGACGGUAGCUCAAUUGGAAGAGGACCUGCCUUUCACGCAGGGAGUUGCUGGUUCGAGUCCAGCCCUCAAACCA
rnacentral:tRNA from 1 species